rnacentral:rRNA from 1 species
UUAUUUUAUUUUAUAAUUUACACAAUAUGAUUUAAAAAUAAUUAUGUUUAAAUAAAAUAAGUUUAUAUUAAUUUAUAUUUUUAUAUAAAAAUAUUAAUGGCAAAAUUCGUGCCAGCAGCUGCGGUUAUACGUAAUUUUAUUAUAAUAGUUUUAGUUAAUUAUUUAUGUAUAUAUAUAUUUCAGGUGAAAUUUUAUAUGUAAUAAUUAUAUAGAUAUUAUAUUUAAACUAGGAUUAGAUACCCUACUAUUAAUAAUUAUUUUUAAAGUAAUAAUCAAAAAACUUAAUAAUUUGACGGUGAAUAUUUCCUAAAGGAACUUGUAAUUUAAUCGAUACCUCACGAACUAUUUCACUUAUAUUUAUCUUGUAUACCUCCGUAUAGAUUUUAUUAUAAAAUUUAAUUAUCUAAUAAAUCAUUAUUGAUAUAUCAGGUCAAGGUGCAGUAUAUAUAAGUUAUUAUGUGUUACAUUGAGAAAUUAUAAUUAGAUUUAAUUUGAAAAAAUUAAGGAAAAUGAAUUUAUAAGUAAAAAAAAUUAUAAUAUUUUUUUGAAAAGUAAGUAUUUAUGUACAUAUCGCCCGUCAUUUUUAUUUAUAAAUAAAACAAGUCGUAACAAAGUAGAUAUAAUGGAAAUUAUAUCUAGAAUCUAAUAAAUUUAUUUACAUUAAAUUAU